rnacentral:lncRNA from 1 species
UGCCGGAAAACGAACUCACCAGAGAAAUCCCGAAGGAGAUUUUGAACUGCAAGAACUUAACAACCUUGAACCUGUGGGGAAACUUUUUUCCGGCAAAAUACCCAGGGAACUUGGAUCGAUUCUGAAUCUUCAAAAGUAGUUUUUAGGCAACAACUCACUUACGAAAGAACUUCUCGAUUCGUUACUUGAUUUGAAAAACUUGAAGCUCUUGGAUCUAAGCCGGAACUGUUAUGGGAACCAUAUGGGGGUGAAAUACCGGAGAUUUUCGGACGACUCACACAAGUGAGGACUCUACUUCUGCAUUCGA